rnacentral:rRNA from 1 species
CCUACGGGGGGCAGCAGUUGGGAAUAUUGCGCAAUGGGGGGAACCCUGAUCCAGCGACGCCGCGUGAGUGAAGAAGUAUUUCGGUACGUAAAGCUCUCUCAGCAGGGAAGAAAAUGACGGUACCUGACUAAAAAGCCCCGGCUAACUACGUGCCAGCAGCCGCGGUAAUACGUAGGGUGCAAGCUUUAUCCGGAUUUACUGGGUGUAAAGGGAGCGUAGGCGGGUCUUUAAGCGUGCCGUGAAAUGUUGUGGCUCAACCAGGAGACUGCGGCGCGAACUGGAGACCUAGAGUGCGCGGAGGGCAGGCGGAAUUCGUGGUGUAGCGGUGAAAUGCUUAGAUAUCAGGAAGAACACCGAUGGCGAAGGCAGCCUGCCGGAGCGUUACUGACGCUGAAGCUCGAAAGCGAGGGGAGCGAACAGGAUUAGAUACCCGAGUAGUC